rnacentral:lncRNA from 1 species
GCCUACCAUGUUCUGAGACCCCCCCUCUUUAUGUAUGGGACUUUCACCUUGUGCGUAGCCGAUGUGGGAUUCGCCUAAGGUGUAGUGCCCCAAACCUGGGAUGUCACAUACACCCCCCCUUAGGGACUCAGCGUCCUCGCUGAGGUUUGCCCCACCAUCGACCAGAGGGACAAGGCUCUGGCUCUGAUACCAAAUUGUCAUGGUCCAGCCCAUGGUAAGUAUUGUCCGCUUUGG